rnacentral:rRNA from 1 species
UACGUAGGGUGCAAGCGUUAUCCGGAAUUAUUGGGCGUAAAGAGCUCGUAGGCGGUCUGUCGCGUCUGCUGUGAAAACCCGAGGCUCAACCUCGGGCCUGCAGUGGGUACGGGCAGACUAGAGUGCGGUAGGGGAGAUUGGAAUUCCUGGUGUAGCGGUGAAAUGCGCAGAUAUCAGGAAGAACACCCGUGGCGAAGGCGGCUCUCUGGGACGGUACUGACGCUGAGACGCGAAAGCGUGGGGAGCGAACAGG